AUUUUGAUAGCUCAGUCAGUAGAGGCAUGAGAUUCUUAAUCUCAGGGUUGUGAGUUUGAGCCUCAUGUUGGGCAAAAGA